rnacentral:lncRNA from 1 species
CUGAGGCAUAAAUCUCCAGAAAUAAAGCAAAGGAUUUGUUAGAAAGAUUUGAUCCUGAGCAAUGAAGCAACAACCUCAGUGACAAGGACUAACAGGGAUGUGCCUUUACCUUCUGUUCUUGGAGAGAUUGAAAAUGAUUUUCAGCCACCAAAAGCUAUGUUUUAAUAAAAUAUAAGUUAAAAUAGUUAACUUUUCUAAUAAGGAAAGCCUAAAGAGAGUAGAUUGAUCAUCAUUGAAAUGAAUGAAGCAAUGAAAUAAUUCCUCCCUGCCCAACAGGUCCCUGCUGGGAGUGCUGAGGCUGCAGGUAAAGGGCAAAGCUCUGGAUUCAAGAGGUCUGGAUAAGUGGAUGGAUGUGGAAAACUGCUAGUUUUGACAGAAGAAAUUGCUGAAUAUAUUAAAUAACAACGUGAGAAACCAAUAAAUCUGCAGGUAGUGCUGUGAGGAGUGGCCAGGUUGGCUGGAUGCCUGGAUGGGAACACCAGGAGCCUUUUGGGGAUCCGAGUGUAUCCAGGACAGCAGCAGCACCUGGGGAACUAAAUCAGCAAUGCUGGCAAAAAAUGAGACUGAAAAUAUCAGAAAUAGCAAAUAACCAUACAGAAACCGGCAAGUUUUGGGAUGGACACAGCAAAAUUGUGAUCACUGGAAAAAACAAGGAUCAAAGAGCUGUGGGCUGCACUAGAGUCAACCCUAUGCUGGGAAGUUGUGAUGGGCUGUUUAAAACUUACAUCUCAUGGAUUGAGACAUCUUCCAGAGCUUGUGCUGAAAGCCAAGCCAAAACCUCAAUUUCUCUCAAGAAACUCCACCUGAAGAGCCCCUGGAGCCAGCAAAGGUCUCACAGGUUCUCCCACUGCACAUCAGCCAUGCACCAGAACCAGGUUCCAGGAUGUGAAGAACAGGAAAAACUCAUCUGACCUGAAAUCUGAGCCACCCAUCUCCUCUCAGGUGACACAGUCACAGCAAAUUCCCUCUGCCAGG